rnacentral:rRNA from 1 species
UACGUAGGUGGCGAGCGUUGUCCGGAUUUAUUGGGCGUAAAGGGCGCGCAGGUGGUGCGGUAAGGCUGCCGUGAAAUCUCCCGGCUCAACUGGGAGGGUGCGGUGGCGACUGCCGGACUGGAGGCACUCAGAGGCCGGUGGAAUUCCCGGUGUAGUGGUGAAAUGCGUAGAGAUCGGGAGGAAUACCGAUGGCGAAGGCAGCCCCCUGGGAUAACACUGACGCUCAUGCACGAAAGCGUGGGGAGCAAACAGG